rnacentral:lncRNA from 11 species
GUUUUUCUAUUAGUUCUGCAACUUCUCAGUGUUGAUUAUAGAAUCGUUCAGGACUGCUUGGAGGAAUGUCUGGGAAGAUGUUCCCAUAACCGUUCUGGCUGCCAUGUUUUGAACCAACUGGAGUUUCUGAACUUGGUACAGAGGUAUCCCAAAAGUACAACAAACUGCAGAAGUCCAGCCUUGAGGUUACCAGUGCAUGCACUACCCUUCUUAAGCCUUCCAAUUCUAGAAACGGAUGCUGCUGAUGUAUCAGUCGAAACUGAUAAGAACCCUGAUGCUGCAAAAGAUGACAAACCUCAGGAUUACAUAGGAUGGAACUAUGACAGUUAAAGUGGUGCCAAAGUGCUAGAAUUCUGCAGCAUGAAUGAGAAUCCUCUAUCUGAUUCUCCCCCCCCCCUUUUUUUCUGUAUAUGUUUGAGUAAGCAACUACAUUGAUUAUACAGGUUUGAUCAACUUAAGUCCUUGUGCAUGGUCUUUUGCAGUGAAAUCAAUACAAGAAAUGCCUUUAAAGGCAUUUAAAAGUUUUUAGUUGGAUGGCAACAUAUGGCAACAUAUGGCAUAUGAACUUCCUUUGUAUGGGGAAAGUAUUAUUUUUAAGAAACCUGAUUGCAGCCUGGAAAUUUAUUUUUGAUCUAUAGCACUGCAAAGCUCUGCAUAUUGAAGAUUAAAUUAACCAUUAAAUUAACACAGGCAGAAGCAAUAUCAUUUUUAUUUGAGAUGGUUACAUCAAAAUUCUUCACUUUUUUCCCAAAAGUUCCCUUUGUGCCUCUAUUGCAGUUGUAGUUCAGCCAAAUUAUUCUAUAAUUCAAAGGCCUUUGCUACCUCCUGUUAAAUAAUUCUUCAAAUUUCAUGUUAAACGAGGAUCUGCCAGGAAAGAAAAAAAAAACCAGAUGAAUAAAAAAUAGAUUCUUGGCUGCUUCAAAUCAGACCAAUUUUAUAUUUGUAACAGAUCUCCCCACUCCAAAACAAAGUACAUUUCUCUUCAUAUCAAUAAAGCUGAGCAGAGAAUAUUUGUAUUUCUUAGUAAAGCUUUCA